UACAGGGGGUGCAAGCGUUGCUCGGAAUUAUUGGGCGUAAAGCGCGCGUAGGCGGCCACUUAAGUCGGAUGUGAAAGCCCCUGGCUCAACUGGGGAAGUGCACUCGAAACUGAAUGGCUUGAGUGCGAAAGAGGGUCGCGGAAUUCCCGGUGUAGAGGUGAAAUUCGUAGAUAUCGGGAGGAACACCGGUGGCGAAGGCGGCGACCUGGGUCGACACUGACGCUGAGGCGCGAAAGCGAGGGGAGCAAACGGG
rnacentral:rRNA from 1 species